GGGAAAGAUGAAAUAACUAUGAAAAACUAACAUACAAACAGCAAAGAUCAACCGUUUUACCUCUUGAAUCAUGAUUUAGCGAGAACAACCAAGCAAAACGAAUUUAAGCUGGCCACUCCGAAACCCAAGUGAACUACUCGCAAGCAACUAUCUAAGCGAACCCGUCUCUGUCGCAAGAGUGCGAUGACUUGCUAGUAGAGGUGAGAAGCCAACAGAGCUGAGUGAUAGCUGAUUGCCUGCGAAACGAAUCUAAGUUCCCUCUUGACUAUUCUCUAAGGACACCUAGUCUAACCUCCCACGUAACUGGCCAAGAGUAAUUUAAAGGAGGUACAGCUCCGUUAAAAAAGAAUGCAAUCUCCCCCAGAGGAUAACUCAACCUUGCACAAAUCCUGUGGGCUUUAAAGCAGCCAUCAACAAAGAGUGUGUCAAAGCUUGACACCCAAAAAUUCAAGAACAAUAUGACUCCCUUCUCACUAACAGGCCAACCUAUGACAAAAGGAGGAUUAAUGCUAAAAUGAGUAACUACGGGUCACCCCUCUCAUGCGCAAAAUUACAUGCAACAGCAACAGCUGUUACUGCCAACCCAGGAGCGCUCACUAGAAAGAUUUAAAUCUGUAAAAGGAACUAGGCAAACCCAAGGCCCAACUGUUUACCAAAAACAUAGCCUUCAGCAAACCAAGUCUUGAAGGUGAUGCCUGCCCAGUGACACCAUGUUCAACAGCAGCGGUAUCCUAACCGUGCGAAGGUAGCGCAAUCAAUUGUCUCAUAAAUUGAGACUUGUAUGAAUGGUUAAAUGAGGUCUUAACUGUCUCUUACAGACAAUCAGUGAAAUUGAUCUCCCUGUGCAAAAGCACGGAUAAACACAUAAGACGAGAAGACCCUGUGGAACUUAAAAACAUAGGGCCACCUCACAGUAACCCCUCCUGCUUACCAGGCCCACCUUACUACAUACACUGGUCUGUAUUUUUUGGCUGGGGCGACCUUGGAGAAAAACAAAUUCUCAAAAAAUAGGACCACACCUCUUAACUAAGAGCAACCCCUCAAUGUGCCAGUAGUAAUCAGACCCAAUAUAAUUGAUCAAUGAACCAAGCUACCCCAGGGAUAACAGUGCAAUCUCCUUCAAGAGCCCAUAUCAACAAGGAGGUUUAUGACCUCGAUGUUGGAUCAGGACACCCUAAUGGUGCAGCUGCUAUUAAGGGUUUGUUCGUUCAACUAUUAACAGUCCUACGUGAUCUGAGUUCAGACUGGAGCAAUCCAGGUUGGUUUCUAUCUAUGACAGGACUCUUCUCCGU
rnacentral:rRNA from 1 species